UACGGGGGGUGCAAGCGUUGUUCGGAUUGAUUGGGCGUAAAGCGCUCGUAGGCGGGUUCACAAGUCGGAUGUGAAAUCCCCGGGCUUAACCUGGGAAUUGCAUCUGAAACUAUGGAUCUUGAAUGCUUGAGGGGUUGGUGGAAUUCUUGGUGUAGGAGUGAAAUCCGUAGAUAUCAAGAGGAAUACCGGAGGCGAAGGCGGCCGACUGGCAAUGCAUUGACGCUGAGGGACGAAGGCGUGGGGAGCGAACCGG
rnacentral:rRNA from 1 species